AAAGUCGAUCUGGGGGAAGAUUUUUAAAUAAGUGGGUCAGAGGGACCGAGAGGAGAUGAGGCGAUCAAUCUUAGCCCCCUGACAGCUCCCUCCGAUGGCAUCAAAGAAUUUGGCUCUUUGGGAAAGCCGAGGGAACAGCCGAAAUUCCACAUCCCUUUAAAAGGCCUGGGGGUGGGGGUGAUAGCAAAAGAGAAAGGUGAUUCUGGGAGAGCAGGGAAACAGAUGGGCAAUGGGGACAGAGGGAAGGACGCUGAGUUGGGUGGAAAGUUUGUGUGGAGAACUCCCACGGCUCUGGCCUCCCCUCCCCCUCCUCCUCUCGGCUGCCCAGCAAGGAGGAGAAGGCUGGUUAGCAGAGAAAUGGCAACUCAGCCGGGAGCUGGAACUAGAAACUUUCUGUCAAUGUAACAGCCGCGUGGGUGGCGACCCAAUGGUGGUUGGGCUUCGGGUCACGUGACGACUUCUUUGUAGCUCCGGAAGAGAACUGUGAAGUUUAGGUUCCUUGGAAGAAGCAGAGAACUGCAAGGAAAAAAAAAUCAAGAUUUGGAGGAAUUACUCACAGAGAUGGAAGGUAAGUUGGUUGGUUGGUUGGUUGGUGAUGGCCUAGCCAUCUUGUCUGCUUUUUAAAAUGUGCUUCUCUGCCUUGUUUCCCUAUCUCCUAACUGGGUAUUGCUGGAGGCCUAGGGUUGAGGGGCUCAUCUCCACAGUCGGCUGUGGAUUUCUCUCCAGUGGGUUGGCAGGCGGACCGAACAAGGACUGGAGGACCUUACAAAGCAACUUCUCAGGCCAGGGGGAGGGGAAGGGGCUCCAGCCCCGGUCUUCCCAGCAGCAAGUGUGGCUCUCGCCUCCUUGCCUCCCUAUUUCAGACCUCCAGGCUGCCCCCUCAGUGCGCACGGCCUGCGCGCCCCUCGUAGCUCUCACCCACCCCAAGACCUCGCCCCUCCGCCGCCCCCGCCCCCCCCCCCCCCCGCCCCUCUCCGAUCACAGAUCUUGAUCUGCCGC